AGUGAACGCUGGCGGUAGGCCUAACACAUGCAAGUCGAACGGCAGCACAGUAAGCGCUUGCCCUUACGGGUGGCGAGUGGCGGACGGGUGAGGAAUACAUCGGAAUCUACUUUUUCGUGGGGGACUACGUAGGGCAACUUACGCUAAUACCGCAUACGACCUACGGGUGAAAUCAGGGGAUCUUCGGACCUUGCGCGACUGAAUGAGCUGAUGUCGGAUUAGCUAGUUGGCGGGGUAAAGGCCCACCAAGGCGACGAUCCGUAGCUGGUCUGAGAGGAUGAUCAGCCACACUGGAACUGAGACACGGUCCAGACUCCAACGGGAGGCAGCAGUGGGGAAUAUUGGACAAUGGGCGCAAGCCUGAUCCAGCCAUACCGCGUGGGUGAAGAAGGCCUUCGGGUUGUAAAGCCCUUUUGUUGGGAAAGAAAAGCAGCAGGUUAAUACCCCGCUGUUCUGACGGUACCCAAAGAAUAAGCACCGGCUAACUUCGUG
rnacentral:rRNA from 1 species